rnacentral:rRNA from 1 species
CCACCAAAGCGACGAUGGAUAGGGGUUCUGAGAGGAAGUUCCCCCACAUUGGAACUGGGACACGGUCCAAACUCNUACGGGAGGCAGCAGUGAGGAAUAUUGGUCAAUGGUCGGCAGACUGAACCAGCCAAGUCGCGUGAGGGAAGACGGCCCUACGGGUUGUAAACCUCUUUUGUCGGAGAGUAAAGUACGCUACGCGUAGCGUAUUGCAAGUAUCCGAAGAAAAAGCAUCGGCUAACUCCGUGCCAGCAGCCGCGGUAAUACGGAGGAUGCGAGCGUUAUCCGGAUUUAUUGGGUUUAAAGGGUGCGUAGGCGGCACGCCAAGUCAGCGGUGAAAUUUCCGGGCUCAACCCGGAGUGUGCCGUUGAAACUGGCGAGCUAGAGUACACAAGAGGCAGGCGGAAUGCGUGGUGUAGCGGUGAAAUGCAUAGAUAUCACGCAGAACCCCGAUUGCGAAGGCAGCCUGCUAGGGUGAAACAGACGCUGAGGCACGAAAGCGUGGGUAUCAAACAGGAUUAGAUACCCUGGUAGUCCACGCAGUAAACGAUGAAUACUAACUGUUUGCGAUACAAUGUAAGCGGUACAGCGAAAGCGUUAAGUAUUCCACCUGGGGAGUACGCCGGCAACGGUGAAACUCAAAGGAAUUGACGGGGGCCCGCACAAGCGGAGGAACAUGUGGUUUAAUUCGAUGAUACGCGAGGAACCUUACCCGGGCUCAAACGCAGGGGGAAUAUAUAUGAAAGUAUAUAGCUAGCAAUAGUCACCUGCGAGGUGCUGCAUGGUUGUCGUCAGCUCGUGCCGUGAGGUGUCGGCUUAAGUGCCAUAACGAGCGCAACCCCUAUGGACAGUUACUAACGGGUGAAGCCGAGGACUCUGUCGAGACUGCCGGCGCAAGCCGCGAGGAAGGUGGGGAUGACGUCAAAUCAGCACGGCCCUUACGUCCGGGGCGACACACGUGUUACAAUGGCAGGUACAGAAGGCAGCCAGUCAGCAAUGACGCGCGAAUCCCGAAAACCUGUCUCAGUUCGGAUUGGAGUCUGCAACCCGACUCCAUGAAGCUGGAUUCGCUAGUAAUCGCGCAUCAGCCAUGGCGCGGUGAAUAAGUUCCCGGGCCUUGCACU